AUGGGGGGUGAGGAUUUUUGUGUGUGGGCUCAUGAAGGCAAUGGCAUCUAUUCUGUAAAAUCAGCAUACCAUGCUCUAGUGAAUCAGAAAGAGCGUGCCGCUCUAGAUGAAGGGACGGCUACAAAUACUUCACAGACCGAUGAACAGAUGUGGAAGCUGUUGUGGAAGCUCAAGGUCUUGCCGAAGGUUCGUGUCUUCUGGUGGAGAGUGGUCAGGGGCAUUCUUCCGGAUGAAAGUACACUAAAACAUCGGCAUAUACGACCCAUUAGCAGAUGCAAUGUCUGCCUUGCGAUGGAUGAGGAUUUGAUGCAUGCCCUAGUGCAUUGCUCUCGUGCCAAAUUGUUCUGGGAACAAGCACAUGAGCUACUUGGUGUUAGAAGACCGAGGCUGCACCCGUAUACAUGGUCUAGAGAUAUUAUUUGUGACAGUCAAUUCACAGAGGUGGAGAGAGCUCAAAUGAUCUCUGUUAUGUGGGCAAUAUGGCACUCCAGAAACAGAAUCACCCAUGAUGGAGAGAAGCUUGAUCCUCUGGCCACAGUGAGACGCAUCAGAGAAGAUUUGGCGAUACUUGAUAUUCCUUCUUCACAUGCUUCGAUCCUCCCCGGACAUGAGUGGCGACCGCCAGAUGAGGGUGUUGUCAAAAUUAAUACUGAUGCGGCUAUAAACAUGGAUCCGAACAAGGCUGGAGCAGGAGGUGUGGCACGUUCAACCUCGGCUUUGUUGGGAGCUUGGAGUAAACCCCACGACGGGGUGACGGAUCCAUUCAUAGGUGAGGCCUUGGCGCUCCGUGGCGGCGUCAUCUUUGCAAGCUUGCGAGGUUUCUCACAUGUGAUUAUGAAGACAGACUGCCUAGAGAUACCGACAAUCAAAAUGACGGCGUUGGACGGCAAGACACAUUCAGACCGCACGGUCCGAACGGAUGCGAGUGGUUUGAGAGACGGCAAGACACAUUCAGACCGCACGGUCCGAACGGAUGCGAGUGGUUUGAGAGUCCGCAUGGAGAUGCUGGUUUGUUUAUGGGAUGAAAGCAAAAGUUUCUUGGGUUUGUUUCCAGGGAGCAGAAACCAACUUUGA
rnacentral:rRNA from 1 species